AUGCCACCGGAUAGAGAUAUUGAGUUUUUGAUUGAGCUAUUGCCAGGCACAGGGCCAAUAUCAAAGAGACCAUAUAGGAUGCCAGCAAAGGAUUUGGUGGAAAUUAAGAAGCAGAUUAAGGAGUUACUGGAUAAGGGAUAUAUCUGCCCAAGUUCUUCACAUUGGGGAUCGCCAGUACUUCUAGUGGAGAAGAAGGAUGGAUCGUUAAUGAUGGUUGUUGAUUAUCGAGGAUUGAAUGAAGUAACGAUCAAGAACAAGUACCCACUACCAAUGAUCAAUGAUCUGUUUGAUCGAUUGCAAGGAGCUAAGGUAUUUUCCAAGAUCGAUCUGCAAUCAGGAUACCACCAGUUGAAGAUUCGAGAACAGGAUAUACCUAAGACAGCUUUUACCACCAGGUAUGGGCUGUACGAGUAUACCGUUAUGUCAUUUGGUCUGACUAACGCACCUGCCUAUUUUAUGAACAUGAUGAACAAAGUAUUUAUGGAGUUUUUGGAUAAGUUCGUCGUAGUGUUCAUUGAUGAUAUCCUGGUUUACUCGAAGAAUGAAGAGGAGCAUAAGGAACAUUUGCGACUAGUACUUGGAAAGCUCAGAGAACAUCAAUUAUAUGCCAAGUUCAGCAAAUGUGAGUUUUGGUUGAAGGAAGUAGGAUUCCUCGGACACGUUAUAUCUGGAGAAGGUAUAGCAGUUGAUCCCACUAAAGUUGAUACCGUGACCAAGUGGGAAGCCCCAACAACAGUUGGAGAGAUCCGGAGUUUUCUUGGACUCGCAGGAUACUACCGGAGAUUUAUUGAGAAUUUCACAAAGAUUGCGAAGCCUAUGACUGAGUUGUUGAAGAAAGAUACCAAGUUCAUAUGGACGGAGGAAUGUGAGGCUAGUUUCCAGGAGUUGAAGAAACAUUUGGUUACCUCACCAGUGUUGAUUUUGUUAGACCAGACCAAAGAUUAUGAGGUGUAUUGCGACGCUUCACGUCGAGGACUUGGAGCAGUGCUUAUGCAGGAAGGGAGAGUUGUUUCAUAUGCCUCAAGACAACUG
rnacentral:rRNA from 1 species